rnacentral:misc_RNA from 1 species
AAAACAAUAGAAUAGAGAAACUAACAAGCCAAGCUACUGACAGGAAACAGAGCAAACAAGUAGAUAGUAAUGAAAUGUGCCACAAAAUGAUGCAAACAAGAAACAGACAACCCAACCAAAGCUAAUAACACAAAAUGAAGAUCUCCUAAAGGGAAAUAGAAUUUUUCUUAUCAAACUUAUCUGCCCUGUUUCCUUUUUUU